rnacentral:rRNA from 1 species
GACGAACGCUGGCGGCGUGCUUAACACAUGCCAGUCGAACGGAAAGGCCCUGCUUUUGUGGGGUGCUCGAGUGGCGAACGGGUGAGUAACACGUGAGUAACCUGCACUUGACUUUGGGAUAACUUCAGGAAACUGGGGCUAAUACCGGAUAGGAGCUCCUGCUGCAUGGUGGGGGUUGGAAAGAUUCGGCGGUUGGGGAUGGACUCGCAGCUUAUCAGCUUGUUGGUGGGGUAGUGGCUUACCAAGGCUUUGACGGGUAGCCGGCCUGAGAGGGUGACCGGCCACAUUGGGACUGAGAUACGGCCCAGACUCCUACGGGAGGCAGCAGUGGGGAAUAUUGCACAAUGGGCGGAAGCCUGAUGCAGCAACGCCGCGUGCGGGAUGACGGCCUUCGGGUUGUAAACCGCUUUCGCUUGUGACGAAGCGUGAGUGACGGUAAUGGGUAAAGAAGCACCGGCUAACUACGUG